rnacentral:lncRNA from 1 species
UCAUAUCCAUAUUGCUUAAAUGAAUAAUUAUCCAUAAAGAGGUUUAAAACAACCCAACACAUAGAUAUCAUGUUCUAGUAUAAAUAUGCAUGGAAUUAGCUUUUUAUAACAUUCAACACCUAGACCAACAUGCCUAUUGUAUUUAAUAAACUCAAGUUAUUUGACUAAUUCCUAGAAUUUUUUUUUGAGAAAAUAUUUAUAGGGGUAUGACAGAUCCACACCUAGGCAAGCAUCAGGCAAUUAAAAGUUUCAUAAAACUGCGAAAUGGUGUUGUGUUGUGAAAUUGUCCAAGUUUAACAGGUUCUAAAAUCAGUAGGCAAAUUGAUCAGGUUAUAUCACUUUUCUUUAAGAUAAUACUUCAUAUUCUAUGUUUGUGAUGCUCAUUUAGAUACCCCGUUCUAGGACUUCUCUGAAAUUACCUGAAAUAUGUGUUUAAAACGUGUUCCUUAUUGGUUUAUGUGUGGAGGUAAACAUGAGCCCCUUAACUACUUCCCUAUUUGACAAUCCUAUAUGUUAUUUGUUGUCGCUUAGAUUUUACCUUUUGAACACCUUAG